UUGAAAUCUGGCUCUCACCGGAGUCCGAGUUGUAAUUUGUAGAAGAUGCUUUGGGUGCUAGGCCUGGCCUAAGUUCCUUGGAACAGGACGUCAUAGAGGGUGAGAAUCCCGUAUGCGGCCGGUGCCUGUGCCCGUGUAAAGCUCUUUCGACGAGUCGAGUUGUUUGGGAAUGCAGCUCAAAAUGGGUGGUAAAUUUCAUCUAAAGCUAAAUAUUGGCCAGAGACCGAUAGCGCACAAGUAGAGUGAUCGAAAGAUGAAAAGCACUUUGGAAAGAGAGUUAAACAGUACGUGAAAUUGUUGAAAGGGAAGCGCUUGCAACCAGACUUGGGCGUUGGUGAUCAUCCAGAGUUUUCUCUGGUGCACUCGGCAAUGCACAGGCCAGCAUCGGUUCGGGUGGUUGGAUAAAGGCCUAGGGAACGUAGCUCCUCUCGGGGAGUGUUAUAGCCCUGGGCGCAAUGCAGCCUACCUGGACCGAGGACCGCGCUUCGGCUAGGAUGCUGGCGUAAUGGUUGUAAGCGACCCGUCUUGAAACACGGACCAAGGAGUCUAACAUCUAUGCGAGUGUUUGGGCGUUAAAACCCAUGCGCGGAAUGAAAGUGAACGUAGGUGAGAACCCUUUAGGGUGCAUCAUCGACCGAUCCUGAUGUCUUCGGAUGGAUUUGAGUAAGAGCAUAGCUGUUGGGAAC
rnacentral:rRNA from 1 species